UGGGUUAUGCGCUGCUUCUAAUGGCAGUAAUGAUAUAUUCUACUAAUGGAUGCUUCUACAACAUCUACUGAUGGAUAAUGAAGAUAAAAAAAAUUAGCAUCUACUGAUGGAUGCUAUAUGGUUAGACAUUUACUGAUGGAUGUCACUAACGGCGUUUAUUGAUGAAUGCUACUGGGAUAACAUCUACUAAGGGAUGCUAGAAGAUUUAGGUAUCUACUGAAGGAUACAGGAAGGUAACCUACUGAUGGGUGAUGGUAAGUUUUGCACCUACUGAUGGGUGCUAGAAAAGUUUGGGUCAGGCUCAUGACAUUAAACAAGCGCUACCUGGGAGGCAAC
rnacentral:lncRNA from 1 species